AUUGAACGCUGGCGGCAUGCUUUACACAUGCAAGUCGGACGGCAGCACAGAGACGCUUGCUUCUUGGGUGGCGAGUGGCGCACGGGUGAGUCAUAUAUCGGAACGUACCGAGUGAUGGGGGAUAACUAAUCGAAAGAUUAGCUAAUACCGCAUAUUCUCUGAGGAGGAAAGCAGGGGACCUUCGGGCCUUGCUUUAUUCGAGUGGACGAUAUCUGAUUAGCUAGUUGGUGGGGUAAAGGCCUACCAAGGCGACGAUCAGUAGCGGGUCUGAGAGGGUGAUCCGCCACACUGGGACUGAGACACGGCCCAGACUCCUACGGGAGGCAGCAGUGGGGAAUUUUGGACAAUGGGCGAAAGCCUGAUCCAGCCAUGCCGCGUGUCUGAAGAAGGCCUUCGGGUUGUAAAGGACUUUUGUCAGGGAAGAAAAGGCUGUUGCUAAUAUCAAUAGCUGAUGACGGUACCUGAAGAAUAAGCACCGGCUAACUACGUG
rnacentral:rRNA from 1 species